UAUUCUCGCAACUCAUACCGCACAUGUAGAUUCUAAACCGAAGAGUUGUUGUUAGCAGUAUACCUUCCCCAGAGACGUGUAACUUGCCCCUUUAUUCCUCAUCCCCGUGACAGUCUCUUCAUGGCGAAAAAUUUGCACGAAUGGUCAAGAUCAUGUAAUGAAAACAUAACCAUAAAUUCAGCAAACUUUUACACCAAAAAUGAAAACGACCUGUAUUAAGUAACACAAAUAAACAACAUACUUGAACUGCA